GACAGAGGUGCCGAGCGUUAGGCGGAAUCACUGGGCGUAAAGCGUGCGCAGGCGGUUUUGUAAGUUUGUCGUGAAAUCCCCGGGCUCAACCUGGGAAUUGCGAUGAAGACUGCAAGGCUAGAAUCUGGCAGAGGGGGGUAGAAUUCCACGUGUAGCAGUGAAAUGCGUAGAGAUGUGGAGGAACACCGAUGGCGAAGGCAGCCCCCUGGGUCAAGAUUGACGCUCAUGCACGAAAGCGUGGGGAGCAAACAGG
rnacentral:rRNA from 1 species